rnacentral:rRNA from 1 species
AAAGCGCGCGUAGGUGGUUUGUUAAGUUGGAUGUGAAAUCCCCGGGCUCAACCUGGGAACUGCAUCCAAAACUGGCAAGCUAGAGUAUGGUAGAGGGUGGUGGAAUUUCCUGUGUAGCGGUGAAAUGCGUAGAUAUAGGAAGGAACACCAGUGGCGAAGGCGACCACCUGGACUGAUACUGACACUGAGGUGCGAAAGCGUGGGGAGCAAACAGGAUUAGAUACCCUUGU